CAGUCGCCGCGGGAAUACAGAGGGUGCGAGCGUUAAUCGGAUUUACUGGGCGUAAAGCGUGCGUAGGCGGCUUCUUAAGUCGGAUGUGAAAUCCCUGAGCUUAACUUAGGAAUUGCAUUCGAUACUGGGAAGCUAGAGUAUGGGAGAGGAUGGUAGAAUUCCAGGUGUAGCGGUGAAAUGCGUAGAGAUCUGGAGGAAUACCGAUGGCGAAGGCAGCCAUCUGGCCUAAUACUGACGCUGAGGUACGAAAGCAUGGGGAGCAAACAGGAUUAGAUACCCCCGUAGUCCCUGUCUCUUAUUU
rnacentral:rRNA from 1 species